rnacentral:rRNA from 1 species
CAAUAGCGUAUAUUUAAGUUGUUGCAGUUAAAAAGCUCGUAGUUGGAUUUCGGGUGGGACGCAGCGGUCUCGCAUUGCGUUUGUACUGCUGCAGCCCUCCUUCUUGCCGGGGGCGGCCUCUCGGGCUUCACUGUCUGGGGGUCAGAAUCGGCGAUGUUACUUUGAGUAAAUUAGAGUGUUCAAAGCAAGCUUACGCUCUGAAUAUAAUAGCAUGGGAUAACACGACAGGACUCUGGCCUAUCGUGUUGGUCUAUAGGACCAGAGUAAUGAUUAAGAGGGACAGUCGGGGGCAUUCGUAUUCCGUUGUCAGAGGUGAAAUUCUUGGAUUUACGGAAGACGAACAUCUGCGAAAGCAUUUGCCAAGGAUGUUUNCAUUGA